AUCUCCAGCUAGAGAUCCUUCCUCUUGGAGCCCUUCUGCGAGCCCAGGACACGGAGAGAAGAAUAACAGAACAAUGCUGUACUUGGCAGAGCAGAGCAAUCCGUAGUCUGUCUUCAUUCAAGCCUACAGAAGAGAAGGCUCCAGGCAGCGCUUACACUACGUUGAGGACUGUUUAACUUCCCAUAGCGUCCUGCAAGUGAGGAGGUUAGAGGUGCACAAGAAGAUGGGAGAGGGCCCACAUCUGACUGAAACUGGGUGAAGGAAUAUUCCAUACCAUAUGACAUCAUGCUGAACAGUAAAACAGUGGGGAAUUGGCCAGGGGGCAGCAGAUGUUUAGCUAGUGGCUGGGUAUCAGUUAGCAGGCAGUGGUGCACUGUGCAUCCCUGGUUUUGUAUGUAUUUAUUGCUAUUAUUAUUACUUUCUUUUCUUUUUCUGUCUUGUUUUAACUUUUUUUUUUUUUUUUACUUUUUUUUUUUUUCCUCCUGAUUUUCUUCCCAAACCCACCACUGUGGGGACUGAGUGAAUGGCUGUCUGGGGCUUAGCUGCCUGACAGUUGGUACCUCAUUACAGAUUUAGGUUUCAAAUUCUAUUUUCAUGUAAACUCCUACAGCAUGAAUGCUAAAAUUCAGGACAGAAUUAGGAUUUUCAAUACACAUUUGUCAGAACUUGUAUUUUACAUAUCUUUCACUGAAUGCAGUGUCUUUGAAUGCAUGGUUUUUUCCUAUUCCUUCCAUUACAGGAGAUUUAUGGUCAUAAGAGAUCUGUGUACUCUGCUCCUUUGUCUUAUUAUUUCAGAUUUGGAACUGUGGCAUCCUUUCUAUGUCAGUAAGUUUAAUCAUCUCAUUGAAUCUCAAUUUAGUCUCGUACUAAACUUGAGCUGAGAAGUUGUGUAUCAGAAUUUUUGCUUGUAACAUUGGUGAAGUCUGAAAGCAGUGGUGGGACAGUGUUCAGUAGCAGGCUUAAAAAUAUAUGUGGUUCUUACAUAGCCUAAAUACUAGAUUUCUAUGUAGAGGUACAGACUCAUAUUGAGGACCAAAUAGUCUUACACUGGAAAGUAUAACACCAAUUCAUGUCAAAAUAAUAUUAAGGCACCGAUGCAGAGUAUAGUGUAAUUUAACAGUUUAUGGUACUGAAGAUAUGCCUUCCAAAAUCUUGAACAAGCCUGAUUUAGUUUUAAUGGAUGCAUUUUUCACUACAGCUAGCUAAGGAGAAAGGAGAUGCUGAAAAGUUCAGUUGCUGGAGUAACAAUUACUAUGAGUUAUCCUUUAGUUGCAUUCAUUUCAAUUUAGACAGAAAUAAUUCUGUACUUUGGAAAUUCAAACACAUUAAAAACUUGACUCCCCUGACUAUUUAUUUAUUUAUUUAUUUUAUGGAACAGAGGAAUUUUAUAACACUUUUUAAAAAUGUGUUUGUUUGUUUGUUUUUACUUAAUAAAUUGUAAAGAUGUCUUAUGCUAUGAAAUGUAUUUAAAAACAGUCAUGAUAUAUGAAGUCUAUAAAAUUGUGUGUGUUUUGAAAAAGUACAUU
ensembl:lncRNA